rnacentral:lncRNA from 13 species
AGGCAAAAAGAUCCAAGAAAGCAGAGACAAACAUCAGAGGAGACACAAAGGCAAGACUCCACCAUUUCAUAUCUUUGUACAACUAUGGCUAUAGGUAGACGCAAACAACAGGCCAUGGGGAUGAAAUGAAAAGUGCUGAAGGUGUUUGUACUAAUGUCUUAAUGGUGUAAUACAACAUUUAGAAACAUGAGCAUUUGAAAAAUCAAGCCCGCUCAUAAACUUCUUAUAAACACCUACUAUAGUGUUUAGAUAUGACAUAAUAUCUGACUGAAAGCAGCCGUUUCACAUGGAGGAGGAAAAAAAUCACAACACUUUGGUUGCUUUUUGUUGUUGCUCAAUGUCAGCUGCACAUAGUUGGCUGUCUGAGUUGAACUGACUGAGUUCCCCCUCUCUCUCCCCCCAGCAGGCCCCUCCUAACGCUCCUCCCCCGGGAACUCUGAGGACGACUCCCAGCAGUCAGACAAAGGAGAGGGAGAACACAGUGAGGAGCCAAAGGGCCUGUCGGAGGCAGACCACUGGAAAGGCCCAGCCCCCACCGUGGAGGAGGAGUCCAGGUGAGCUUAGCAGUCCAACAUUAUAUCACCCUUACAAAGCCCUGCUAGGCCUCUAGACACGUUUACAGACGCUAGUACCGACCAAUUAAACUUUGAUUUGACUAUUUUCUGUCUUCCAGGGAGGAGGAGUUAGACGAGUACUUUGAGGACAUGUUUCUUUGACCACCCUGCCCUUGGAUUUCUGCCAGCAAGAGUCAACAUGCAAGAGUCAAUGUGCAAGAGUCAACAUGCAAGAGUCAAUGUGCAAGAGUCAACAUGCAAGAGUAGAUUUGAUUGAUUUUCUAUUAGACGUGGUUAUCUUCGUUUAAUAUUUCAGUUUGUCUGAAGCUGAAUAAAAAGCAGGUUUUUUUUUAAUCCUGAGCUUCUAAUUCAGCCUCCUGACAUUUCAUUAUAACUGAAAUAAAGACUACAAAAUGCAUGAAGUGCCAUGUAAGAACCCAGUAUCGAAGUGUAUUUAGAAAAAGCACAAUCCACUAAGAACUCCCAAGAAAGGACAGGCUUGUGGUAAUGACUGGAGCCUAAUA